AGUGAACGCUGGCGGUAGGCCUAACACAUGCAAGUCGAACGGCCGCACAGUAAGAGCUCUCUUUUACGGGUGGCGAGUGGCGGGCGGGUGAGGCAUACAUCGGAAUCUACUUUUUCGUGGGGGAUAGCGUAGGGACACUUACGCUAAUACCGCAUACGAUCUACGGGUGAAAGCAGAGGUUCCUCGGACUUUGCGCGAUAGAAUGAGCCGAUGUCGGAUUAGCUAGUUGGCGUGGUAAAGGCACACCAAGGCGACGAUCCGUAGCUGGUCUGAGAGGAUGAUCAGCCACACUGGAACUGAGACACGGUCCAGACUCCUACGGGAGGCAGCAGUGGGGAAUAUUGGACAAUGGGCGCAAGCCUGAUCCAGCCAUACCGCGUGGGUGAAGAAGGCCUUCGGGUUGUAAAGCCCUUUUGUUGGGAAAGAAAAGCAGCAGGUUAAUACCCCGCUGUUCUGACGGUACCCAAAGAAUAAGCAACGGCUAACUUCGUG
rnacentral:rRNA from 1 species